AGAGUUUGAUCCUGGCUCAGAUUGAACGCUGGCGGCAGCUUACACAUGCAGUCGAGCGGUAGCACAGAGAGCUUGCUCUUGGGUGACAAGCGGCGGACGGGUGAGUAACGCGUAGGAAUCUACCUAGUAGUGGGGGACAACAGUUGGAAACGACUGCUAAUACCGCAUACGCCCUAAGGGGGAAAGCAGGGGAUCUUCGGACCUUGUGCUAUUAGAUGAGCCUGCGUGAGAUUAGCUAGUUGGUGAGGUAAAGGCUCACCAAGGCAACGAUCUCUAGCUGGUCUGAGAGGAUGAUCAGCCACACUGGGACUGAGACACGGCCCAGACUCCUACGGGAGGCAGCAGUGGGGAAUAUUGGACAAUGGGCGCAAGCCUGAUCCAGCCAUGCCGCGUGUGUGAAGAAGGCCUUCGGGUUGUAAAGCACUUUCAGAAGGGAGGAAAGGUUGUGUGUUAAUAGCGCAUAGCUGUGACGUUACCUUCAGAAGAAGCACCGGCUAACUCCGUGCCAGCAGCCGCGGUAAUA
rnacentral:rRNA from 1 species